rnacentral:rRNA from 1 species
AUUGAACGCUGGCGGCAUGCCUUACACAUGCAAGUCGAACGGCAGCACGGGAGCAAUCCUGGUGGCGAGUGGCGAACGGGUGAGUAAUAUAUCGGAACGUGCCCGGUCGUGGGGAUAACGUAGCGAAAGCUACGCUAAUACCGCAUACGAUCUACGGAUGAAAGCGGGGGAUCGCAAGACCUCGCGCGAUUGGAGCGGCCGAUAUCAGAUUAGGUAGUCGGUGAGGUAAAGGCUCACCAAGCCGACGAUCUGUAGCUGGUCUGAGAGGACGACCAGCCACACUGGGACUGAGACACGGCCCAGACUCCUACGGGAGGCAGCAGUGGGGAAUUUUGGGACAAUGGGCGCAAGCCUGAUCCAGCAAUGCCGCGUGCAGGAUGAAGGCCUC